rnacentral:lncRNA from 1 species
CACUCGGAGUCAGGCAGCUGGCAUGUGCGGGACAUGCUUGGCAGACGGUGUCCAAGGGCUCAGCGUUCGUUCUCUCUCUGGCACGUGAGAGGAUCUGGCAGCUGGGUAGACCACAGCCAGGGCUUCAAAGGGGACCUCUAGACUUUUCACAGGGAGGAGAAGCGCUCCUCCUCCCCACCUCUCCAUCAUCUGGAGUCAGAGUUCUCACCCCUCCGCCUCCUACCCUCUCCCCUCCCCACGCUGCUAUCUAACUGCCACCUGCUCUUCCCCCACUACCAAUUCUGAGCAACUGCAGAGCCAGAAAGAAGCACCUCCUUGCAAACUCUUCUCCGGAUCUACAGCCCUUCCAGUCCCAAGGCUGCUUUCAACCUUUUCUUUAAAGUGAACCUCAAAACAUGGAGAGAUAGCCGGUGUCCUCCAGGAUGCUGUUCCAGCCUCCACGUGCCGUCUGCAGUUUGGAUUUGAGCAUGGUGACCUAAAUCCUAAUAAUGACAAUCAUGAUCCAAUGAUGAAAGCAGCUGAGUCUGUCUUCCAGUCAAAGAACUUUCCGGGUCCCACUCCUGGGAGCCCUGAAGGAGACGCAAAGAUUCUACCCCAAGUCUGGGACAGUGCCUUCUUCUCAAAUAUCACGAGAGAACUUUGGGAUUCUCCCUGUCUCCAGGCUGCCUUAUGUGAUUUACCUUCAAGGAAUGAUGUGUCAUUCUGAGCCUGGGGUUGAAAUUUCUACACAAGCGGGGAUGCUGUCAUGUACACAAGUCACAGUAACUUGUGUCCUCUGCAGGGGGCUUUCUCAUGACACUUUACAAACUGUGGAGACACUCUUAGCCUGCAGCUGAGAGAGUACUUGACAACUGCCCAAGCACUGUCCGCUUGAGCUAGGG